rnacentral:rRNA from 1 species
UAUGGUGAUUUUGCCGAGGGUGUUCACCUCUUCCCAUUCCGAACAGAGAAGUUAAGCCCCUCAUGGCCGAUGGUACUUGCAUUAUGCUGGGAGAGUAGGUAGUUGCCAUAU